UCUGAAUCUAGUAGUGUGUUCAGUGUUCUGCUGUCAGCACUAUUUCAGUUGUCCACCUACCUUGUUAAUAUCAGUGUGUACUUCAUUUUUAAUAUGUUGAUGUCAAUUUUGUCAGGAAUUUAUUCACUGUUGAUUCAUUCUGUGUAUGAACUGUUGACAGGAAGCAGAGAGCAGCAUCUCCAGAGUCCAGCUGUGUGUGUGUGAAGAGGAACAACUCCAUGAUGGAGCCUCAUAACUCCAGCAGUGGAGGAGGAACCUCUGACCCAAAGGUAGAGAGAGCAGAGUCUCCAGCACCCAGCUGUGUGUCUCUGAAGAGUGACUGGUCCAUAGGUGAUUUUCCUAACUUCAGCAAUGGACCUGUGCCGUCUGACCCAAAGGUAAAGAGAGCAGAGUCUCCAGCACCCAGCUGUGUGUCUCUGAAGAGUGAUGCGUCCAUGGGUGAUUUUCCUAACUUCAGCAAUGGAACUGUGCCGUCUGACCCAAAGGUAAAGAGAGCAGAUUCUCCAGCACCCAGCUGUGUGUCUCUGAAGAGUGACGGGUUCAUGAGUGAUCCUCCUGUAUUCAGCAGUGGACCUGUGCCGUCUGACCCAAAGUGUCACAUUACACACUCAUAUUCUUUCAUUAUUGUAGGUGUGGAAGGGUGGAGGGUGCUGUUCUGUCAGUAAUGUAAGGUCUACUCCAUCUUUACUGUUUUAAGAUCAUUUGUAAGGUGUGUUAAUGAUGAUCACUGAGUGAGGAUGACAGUCAACAAUUCCAGUUAUACAGCU
ensembl:lncRNA